rnacentral:rRNA from 1 species
UACAGAGGGGGCAGGCGUUGUUCGGAAUUACUGGGCGUAAAGGGCGCGUAGGUGGCCUUCUAAGUUGAACGUGAAAUCCCUGGGCUCAACCCAGGAACUGCGUCCAAGACUGGGAGGCUUGAAUCCGGGAGAGGGAUGCGGAAUUCCAGGUGUAGCGGUGAAAUGCGUAGAUAUCUGGAGGAACACCGGUGGCGAAGGCGGCAUCCUGGACCGGUAUUGACACUGAGGCGCGAAAGCUAGGGGAGCAAACGGG